CAAAACUUAUGUGAAUAUUUUCCUUGGGUAUACAAAAAUCAAAAAAAUUGUUUUCAUAGUAGUAGUAGUAGCCUUUUCUUCCAAAAAUUCAGAAACUAAAUUUUCGUAGAUGCUAAACUAGGACGAACAAAUUAUUGGGUCCGCUAAUCUAAAUUAAUUGUUAAACUAAAUGCAAUGUCGACCGGUACAAGCUCAACAUUCAAACCUAAGAUUUUGAAAAAAAUUAUUAGCUCUUCAAGUGAUGAAGGAUUUUUACCAUCUUCAACUAGAAGGCGUCUAGUAAAAAAUAUUCCUUUAAAAAGAAAUAUCGAUUAUGAUUCUGAGCCUGAAGAACCAUGCCAUGAUAGGCCGCAAAGUAGACCUAGUCGAAGACUAUCGCGUCGCAGAGCACUUGGUAGAAGUCGUCGCCGUUCCAAAAAACCAACUUAUCGCUUGCGCUCAAGGAAACCUAUGUAAAUAAAGUGCUGAAAACAAUGUUAAAUGAAAGAGCUGAAAACUAUUGGAAAAUAAAGACUUAAUUAUUAUUGCAAA